ACGAUGUUUCACUUUUCGACAUCUGUUUUCAUGCAGACCACCCAGAACACAUCGCCGUUAGGACAUCAGCAUGGAGGUCCUGCCAGGCAGACUCACUCCACAUCGCCUCAUACCAUUCAACUGAAGGCGAUAACCCAAGGACAACUCGCUGAGGACACUGCCCACUUUAGCGACACCUUCGUGUUCAUGGUAGACUCGUGUCAGACAAGUCAUAACUCACACAAGGGGACAAAGUGACAGAGUGCCGAUGACGUCCAUUCCUCAAAAGAAAUCGGAGCGGGAGCUUCAUGAACUCCUUGAACACGCAGACCUUCUCGAGUACUACGACAAAUUCAUCGAGAUAGGCGCAGACAAUGUGCAGCAGCUUCGUGACUUGACGGAUGAAGAGCUUCGAUAAGUCAUUGACCAGGUAGAGAUGACCAGGAAGCCCCUCCACGUGAAGACGUUCAGGAAAGCA